GAAUUAGUACGCCGGUCAUGCUUCGGUAUGUACUAGUGUCACUGAUUCCUUCCUUCUGACGAACCGUCAUGCCAUUAAUUUAGUGUGACGGGGAAUCAGGACUGUUACUUUGAAAAAAUUAGAGUGUUUAAAGCAGGCUCGCGCUUGAAUACAUUAGCAUGGAAUAAUGAAAUAGGACGUUGAUCUUAUUUUGUUGGUUUCUUAGAUCGACGUAAUGAUUAAUAGGGAUAGUUGGG
rnacentral:rRNA from 1 species